rnacentral:tRNA from 1 species
GCUGGUGUAGUAUAGUGGUCAGUAUGCUUCGCUAACACCGAAGAGACCCUGGUUCAAAUCCAGGCACCAGUA